UCAUGUGCCCAAAAGAAGUGAGUCUAAUACUCCGGGACUCCCGGAGGGAGUAUUACAUAUGGUUUAUGUAGAAUUGUUCACAAAUAGACAGAUAAAUCAACACAAAAGUCACCACACUUUGAUUUUUAUGAGGGUCCUACAAACUAAAAUCAUGUAAUUUGCUUAGACAUGAUUAAAAAGAGAAAAGAUUUAAAGAACAAUAAUAGAGUAAGAAACGAAAAUGACCCCUGCAUCACACAUCCAAAGACUUGGUUGAAAAUCCUCGAAGAACACUCAGUUUUGCUUGUCAAAUUGAAGUAAAGAUUGACAAGGAGUAAGGCAGGUACAGAACCAACAUUACCCUUUAUAAUCAACCCUUUAUUCUAGAUACUCUUCCAUUUCAAUGCUAUUGCGCGCUACACCCUACUAAAUGGAGUAUAAUGGGCCAAGGAGCAUAGUUGUGGUUGGUCAAAGGCUCCCUUUCUACUUUGCCAAUUGCGACUAAACUACAGUUAGGAAUUUAGGAUCCUAUCGCCAUACAUGGUGAAGUGAAGCACGAUCGAAUCUAAUCCCACAAAAAAAGAUGGGAGACAAAAUGCGUGAAGGGAAAGCAGUGGAGCAUCAAUGAACCCAGUGAGAACUUUAGGGCCGGCGAUUGCUGCAAACAACUAUAGAGCCAUAUGGGUGUACCUUACUGCACCAAUGUUAGGAGCUCUUGCUGGCGCUGGUGUUUACUCUGCUGUUAAGCUUCCUGAUGAAGGCGACAAAGCACACGACAAGCCAUUGGGAGAACAUAGUUUCAGGAGAUGAAUUCAGAUCACCUGUCAAUGAGGCAGGCAAGACUACACACACAUAUAUAUACAUAUAAGUCACAUGUAACAAGCUGGUGAAUGUGGGCUCUCUCUACUUACCAAUGUAUAGAUUGUGAAAUAUAUUUGAAUAUUACUUGGCUUAGAAAGGUUGUUAAGAUGUCCAUGAAUGCUCUGUAGCUUGAACCUGGGCACACGUAGAAAUUAACCCUUGUAUUAAACUCAAAGUCUCAUUUGGGGCCUCAAA